UAGGGGGGGCUCAGCUUCAUCCGCACAUGCUUUGGAGGCACUGAGUUGUCGUCAGCCCCAUAGAGUUGGUGCCUAUGGGCAGGACAUGAUAUAAUAACCUUCCCCAUUGUUUGGUCAGCGCCUAGCAACUAAAGGUUCACUACUGUGAUUCAUUUGGAUGUGAGUCAGCUACCGGAAGUCAUUCAUAGCAUGACUUCCCUUUGCAGUACAAGUUGUGGGUGAUAAUGUGCAUUCUUAUCUGCGUUGCAGCAUGGGUGGGAAUGCCUUUCCCCUCCCUGUUGUCAUAACAGCUUUCGCAGAGUGGAGUCUGACUAUAUCUGUAUUGGUUUCUAUGUGUUCCGCAACACUUGCAAAACUGAGACAUUCAUGGGAGGCAGAAAAGUGAGAGGGGAGAAGGGAUGAGGGAUGAUGUGACACUAGGCCAUUGACAAAGGCUAAAUGCUGCGCUCAUUCUUUUUUGGGUAAAUGUAAAGCAGACUCCAUUCCUCAUUGUUCAACAUGUUUGAAAGCCUGCCUGCCUAUCUAGCAUCUCUUCCUUUGCCAGCAUAUGUGGGGAAAGUGGCAAUGCAAAGCUGAGGGGGGCAGUGAUAGCGCAUUUGGGGUCCUAGUGGGAAGUUAUCCACUGGGAGCAGUCAAAUACAACAUUCCUUGCUUUGCUAGAGUGGAUAUGCAAGGGAAAGUUUGGUCCAGCCAAAACUUCCUGUUCCUCCUGGCCUGGAGCAUCCUUCCUUGCAUGUGACUAGUGGGUGGGUGUGACCUUUCCAGACCUGGUAAAAGGACAAGGCAUGCAGCCAUUCUCUCUGUUUUCCAGCUUCCUUUCGUCCUGUGAACUGCUGGACUGCUAACUGCAGUCACUAGGUAAAUCUCCCUUAUGGGGUAAACCUGUUUGUAUAUGUUUGAAACUUGAAGCCUAAAGCCUGCCUUCAGGGUUCACACUGUGCUCUGCCUGAUUGUGAGUAAACUUUCUUUUUGUUACUUGUGAAUAAGACUGCCGUGUCUUUAUUCUUUUAGGAGGGAUUCAAGGGGUCUUACCAGGAAAAUAUUAGAAGACAUUUCAAUCUGGACAAGCCAGAUGGAAUUGCGUGUUGUCUUAAGAAACUCACACGAGUUUGCAACAAGUUUUCGGCUGGAAGAGGGAAUGCAAAUACUGCCAUGCUAAACUGCCUUGGAAGCAGCAGUUCCAGAACAAAUGUGGGCAGGUGCUGGUGAGCAGCGCACUUCUUUGGAACCCCAACCAAGUGGCAGUGCAAACUCCCAACAGCACUGCUGCUUAAAGAGCAAAUGCUUGGGUACAAAAAUAUGUUACGGCAGUGAACGAAAUUUAAAACCACCGUAAUUUACCACUUGUUAUCGUCUUUGUCACCUUACUCAUAGACUGCAGGGGGGAAUUUUGAUUGGGUGCGGUGCAAAAUGGGGCAAAGAAUGCUGACUAUUUCUGGUAGAUAUUUUGCUUUAGGUAUCUUUUUACCCAUGAGACCAGUUAACCCACAAGACUCCAGGGUGACUCCUUCCCUCAUGAUAUGUGAAGACAAGGGCAAUGCUCUUGCUCUGGGAUCUUGAGGGUUAAAAAAACUCCUAAGCAAACAAAAUUGGAAUCAGUUGGGAUCACGAUGGCUGUUGUGGACACAGCUAUCAAGCAGGUGGCUGUGAUGAAAAAGGUGAAUAGAAUGAGUGGUUUUGUGAAACCUUUUGUGACUGUACUCUGAAGGGCUCUUCCCAUAGCCAGUUUAGCAGGAUAGGCCUAAGCAAGAAGGCAGAGCUAGAAGCAGAGUGGAAGGGUAGCUAAAGCAGUGAAGUCCUGUUGUAUAUCGUUCUUUAAUGGAAAUAUUUAUUGUUCAUCUCUUCUGACCAGCUCAUCAUUAAACAGAUAACUUUACACCUUUAUCACACAAGCCCCAAACCUCAGCUACAAGUCAAAUAUGUUGUAAAAAUAACGUUCAUGGUGGCUUUUUUUUUUAAAGUAGAAUGAACAAAAAUGCAAAGGGUAUUACCUACAAUAGGUAUUCAGUAAUUUUUAAAUCCACAUAAAGUUAACAUUUUAGACAGUAUCACAUACUUUUAGACAGUAUCCCAUGGGACACCUGCAGUAUCCCGUUAUGCACACUGUAGUUUUCACUGGGUCUUUAAGGCGCUUAAUAGUGAUGUUGCUGGGGUUUUUUCCUUUUUAAAAACUUAUUUCUUAGUUCAGAAAUAUAAAGCUCAGGAGGCUGAAAUGCUUGCAAUACUGACCCCAAACAUUUUUCUCCGGCUUAGAAUACUAUUCUUCCCCCCCCAUAUCAUUUUUAUUAGUUUUACAAUAAUGCUUUCCAUUGCAAUAUCUCCUUUUAUACAUUUAGCUUUUUAGGGCCCUGACUUCCUUCAAACCUUCCUUAUGAUUUUCUGUCUUUCAUUUCAAAUUGCUUAAUUUUCACUAUUGAACCAUUGCUUUAAAAUCAAAAACAUUAAAACAUCAUACAUUCUUAUUCUUAUCUGCAGUGGUUUUUGUACCUUUCCUUACAAAGCUUCUUGCAAUCCUACCAACGUAUUUGAUUGAAUACAAUUGUCUUUCAAAUAAUUUACAAAUUUGUCCAGUCCUUGAUGAACUUUUGGUCCCGCUGUUCGCGGAUUCUUCCCAUCAUUUUGGCCAGUUCCACAUAUUCCAUUAGCUUCGAUUGCCAGUCUUCCUUUGUCGGUAAUUCCUCUUGUUUCCACUUCUGCGCUAAUAAAAUUCUUGCUGCCGUUGUUGCGUAUAGGAAAAGCUUAAUAUCUUGUCUGUUAAUUUCUGUACCUACAAUUCCCAGUAGGCAAUAGGGUAAUGGAUCUUAUUCACAGAUGACCUGGCAUUCAACAGGUCACCUUUUUAUUUAUUGCACUAACUCUCAUAAUACAAUAUAUUACACAAAGGAUCAUAAUACAGAAUUCACAUUGCCAUUUAUUUAUUUAUUUAAAAAACAGUAUUUGCGUUUUUUUGCAGAACAUCAUUUAACAUGAGAUUUACACCAUGGUGGACCAUUGUUAAAAAAAAAAAAAGCAAGGUAAACAGAAUAAUGUUAUUUGUUUUCAUGAAUUUUCAGGAGACUAUAUAACUCACUAUAAUCGCUGAAGUCUAUAGACUUCUGGGUUCAUAAUGGGCUGCUUCACUGAGAAUGUGUUUCAUAACUCAUUUAAAGCUCAGUUCAAUAUUGCUUGACUGGAGACACUUCAUUUACCUUGGAGUCCUUUUUAUUUGUUCUGUUUCAGAAAUGGGACUUGGUGAUGAAGAGCCCUUGGCAGAUAUAUUAGUCCAAGGAAAGUGUGCAUCACAUGAGUAGAGGUGAGGGAUGAGUUUUGCUCUAGGUAAAGUUCCCUUGGAACUUUAAAACGGAGCUCAUCAAAACAGAAUGGAGACCACAGUCUGAAGGAUCUAAGGAUCUGAACUCUGCAUUGCCAUGGCCAUGGGAACACAGAAGAGAAAGGUGAUGUCUCUCCAGAGACAGAACUUUGAACGGCAG